GACGAACGCUGGCGGCAUGCUUAACACAUGCAAGUCGAACGAAGUGGCGAACGGGUGAGUAACGCGUAAUCAACCUGCCCUUCAGAGGGGGACAGCAGUUGGAAACGACUGCUAAUACCGCAUACUGAAGGAGGGGAUGGCGUCUGCUUAGCUAGUUGGAGGGGUAACGGCCCACCAAGGCGAUGAUCACUAGCCGGUCUGGGAGGAGGAACGGCCACAGUGGGACUGAGACACUGCCCAGACUCCUUCCGGACGCAGCAGUGGGGAAUCUUCCGCAAUGGACGGAAGUCUGACGGAGCAACGCCGCGUGAGUGAUGACGGCCUUCGGGUGGUAAAGCUUUGUUAAUCGGGACGCGGUACCGGAAUAGAAAGCCACGGCUAACUACGUGCCAGCAGCCGCGGUAAUAC
rnacentral:rRNA from 1 species